rnacentral:rRNA from 1 species
CCUACGGGAGGCAGCAGUGGGGAAUAUUGGACAAUGGGCGAAAGCCUGAUCCAGCAAUGCCGCGUGAGUGAUGAAGGCCUUAGGGUUGUAAAGCUCUUUUACCAGGGAUGAUAAUGACAGUACCUGGAGAAUAAGCUCCGGCUAACUCCGUGCCAGCAGCCGCGGUAAUACGGAGGGAGCUAGCGUUGUUCGGAAUUACUGGGCGUAAAGCGUGCGUAGGCGGUUAUUCAAGUCAGAGGUGAAAGCCCGGGGCUCAACCCCGGAACGGCCUUUGAAACUAGAUAGCUAGAAUCUUGGAGAGGUUAGUGGAAUUCCGAGUGUAGAGGUGAAAUUCGUAGAUAUUCGGAAGAACACCAGUGGCGAAGGCGACUAACUGGACAAGCAUUGACGCUGAGGCACGAAAGCGUGGGGAGCAAACAGGAUUAGAUACCCUGGUAGUCCACGCCGUAAACGAUGAUAACUAGCUGUUCGGGCACUUGGUGCCUGAGUGGCGCAGCUAACGCAUUAAGUUAUCCGCCUGGGGAGUACGGUCGCAAGAUUAAAACUCAAAUGAAUUGACGG